UACGUAGGGUGCAAGCGUUGUCCGGAAUUAUUGGGCGUAAAGAGCUCGUAGGCGGUUUGUCGCGUCGAAUGUGAAAACCCGGGGCUCAACCCCGGGCCUGCAUUCGAUACGGGCAGACUAGAGUUCGGUAGGGGAGUCUGGAAUUCCUGGUGUAGCGGUGAAAUGCGCAGAUAUCAGGAGGAACACCGGUGGCGAAGGCGGCCCACUGGGCCAGCACUGACGCUGAGGCGCGAAAGCUCGGGGAGCGAACGGG
rnacentral:rRNA from 1 species